rnacentral:lncRNA from 1 species
ACAAGGCCAUAUGUAUGGUUUACCGAAAACUGGAGAAACAUGUCCUCGACGACGCUUAUAUCAUUUUUUUUCUGACGGUUGCGGUUCCGGUAAAUACUCAACAGACGCCUCGCACAAGACACACACAGACGACACACACACACACACGACACAACACAACACCUUGUACCAAAACUAUAUACUCUCCGAAGAGCGCCUGCAGGAGAGUCAGGGGGGGUGAGCCUCUCAGGGUGGUGCUAUCAUUGCGGAUGUCGACAAGCAGGGUACGAUGAGGAUGGAUGGUGGGUGCGACGCCCUUCGCUACUUGCUUGCGAUGACCGAUGACGAUGACGGUGCCGAUGCCGAUGCGGUUUGAGUGCAGGUUGCGACCUUCAUUCAAGUCUGAACGAGAAAACGCGGGAGGUGGUGCUCCAGGAUGGCCAGCAGCUCGCUUUGCUGGGUGCCCCUGUCCAGUUGCCGGCCCUCCAGCCUGCCUGCAGCCUCCACGAGCUGGCCUCUUAGCCUCUGCGGCAGAAGCCGCCCACCUGACCCGACGCAUUCCCUGUACAGUGGCAGGUAGGCCAUGGCGAUCACCAGCUGAAGCGGGAGCUGUCUCAGGACGACCGGCGACUCACCCCUUUGCAUUAUCCUUGUAAUGUUGACAAAGUGCUCUUGUGAAGACACGAAUCCCUUGUUGAAGGCUUCCUCUGACCACUGCUCGAGCAUGAACAGCCUAAGCUUGGCAUCUACAGCCUCAUCAGCGCAUCUUGCUAUGCUGUCUGCUACAGCAUAUGUGGCGGCUGGGUCAUUGAGGAAGUCCGACCGGAGAAGAAAAUCCACACCUUGGAGGGAACCUGUGCUCCUCUCGCCAGCAGCCUUCACAAUCUCGAUGCUGAGUGGGGCAAGAACAAGUUGGGGGACUAGAGGCAGGAGAUAGGCAGCAACUUCAACCUGGC